rnacentral:rRNA from 1 species
AUGUCUGUUUCCCAACUUCAUGCGACAUUAAGACCAGCUCUUCUUUUGUUCCUGUCCAAGUCCGGGCAGCAGAACCAGUAUACCAUCGCCCAUGCCCUUGGUGUGUGUGCCAGAACUAAAGAGAACAUACUCAAGAUUGCAGAUACCCCAGCGGAGCUACAUGGGGCAGUUAAAUCUGAUUGUAAACAAGGUUCCCGAGUAGUUUCUACUCUGUAUCUAAAAAAAUGCAUCCGAUGGAAAAAACUUUUAAUAUUGAGAUGUAUUUCAGGAAGCGGAUUAGGAGCACUCGGGUGCUCCGCCCCCCUAUAG